GCUACCUCCUCCAUCCUGCGCCUUCCCCAGUUCAGGGGGGUGCGGACGCGGAGCGGGGUCGCAAACGGCCUCUCAACGGCAGCCCUGCAGGGUCAAGCCCAGAGGGAAGUAGUUCCAUUGAAAUGUGACAUCAGUUUCCAUGACAGCAGAAUGAGGUCAAUCACACACGUGCAGGAUGUAACAGAAAACCUGUGGUGAAGGUAGAAAGGAUGAGAGAACUUACUGGCUACAUAAACACACUUAGGUACACUUGCACCCUAAACUCUACAGAAUGAAAACAAGAGUACUGUGACAUGAUCAAACAAGAGAGGUUGGCCGGAGAAACAUCUUCAGCUAACUGAGAUCUGGUGCAGAUAGCAUUCAAAAGGAUUAAAAGGAAACAGACAUGAGGUGAAAGGGU